rnacentral:rRNA from 1 species
GACGAACGCUGGCGGCGUGCUUAACACAUGCAAGUCGAACGGAAAGGCCCUGCUUGCAGGGUACUCGAGUGGCGAACGGGUGAGUAACACGUGGGUGAUCUGCCCUGCACUUCGGGAUAAGCCUGGGAAACUGGGUCUAAUACCGGAUAGGAGCCAUUUUUAGGGUGAUGGGGGGAAAGUUUUUUCGGUGUAGGAUGAGCUCGCGGCCUAUCAGCUUGUUGGUGGGGUAAUGGCCUACCAAGGCGGCGACGGGUAGCCGGCCUGAGAGGGUGGACGGCCACAUUGGGACUGAGAUACGGCCCAGACUCCUACGGGAGGCAGCAGUGGGGAAUAUUGCACCAUGGGCGCAAGCCUGAUGCAGCGACGCCGCGUGGGGGAUGACGGCCUUCGGGUUGGAAACUCCUUUCGCUAGGGACGAAGCUUUUUGUGACGGUACCUAGAUAAGAAGCACCGGCUAACUACGUG